GAAACUAACAAGGAUUCCCCUAGUAGCGGCGAGCGAAGCGGGAAGAGCUCAAAUUUAUAAUCUGGCACCUUCGGUGUCCGAGUUGUAAUCUCUAGAAGUGUUUUCCGCGUUGGACCGCACACAAGUCUGUUGGAAUACAGCGGCAUAGUGGUGAAACCCCCGUAUAUGGUGCGGACGCCCAGCGCUUUGUGAUACACUUUCAAUGAGUCGAGUUGUUUGGGAAUGCAGCUCAAAUUGGGUGGUAAAUUCCAUCUAAAGCUAAAUAUUGGCGAGAGACCGAUAGCGAACAAGUACCGUGAGGGAAAGAUGAAAAGCACUUUGGAAAGAGAGUUAACAGUACGUGAAAUUGUUGGAAGGGAAACGCUUGAAGUCAGACUUGCUUGCCGGAGCUUGCUUCGGUUUGCAGGCCAGCAUCAGUUUUCCGGGGUGGAUAAUGACGGUUUGAAGGUAGCAGUCUCGGCUGUGUUAUAGCUUUCCGUUGGAUACAUCCUGGGGGACUGAGGAACGCAGCGUGCUUUUUGCGAAAGACUCGUC
rnacentral:rRNA from 1 species